CAUGAAGUUGGAUUCGCUAGUAAUCGCGCAUCAGCCAUGGCGCGGUGAAUACGUUCCCGGGCCUUGUACACACCGCCCGUCAAGCCAUGGGAGCUGGGGGUGCCUGAAGUUCGUGACCGCAAGGAUCGACCUAGGGCAAAACCGGUGACUGGGGCUAAGUCGUAACAAGGUACC
rnacentral:rRNA from 1 species